UAUAUGCAAAUGUGUAUACACUACACCGUUUAUGAAAUAUUAGAGAAAUAAAUAUGAAAGAUUGUCUUAACAAUAAAGAAAAGUUUUGGUACAUCAUAAAUUUUUCAUUUUGUAGAAUUAAAAUUUUCAAUUAUAUACAUUACAGAUGCAUACCAAUUAAUAAUAUAAAUGUUAUUUGAAAACAUUUUAUGUGGCUAAGUAAUAAAAAAUAUUAAUUAGAAUUGUAAUAUGGUGCACUUGGUUUAAAAUAAGUAUAAAAGUUUAAUAUGAAAACAAUUAUUUUACAUCGUCCCGGGCCCAAAAAUAUAUUGGACCGGAAUAAAGAGAACCAGAGAGAGAGAGCCACAGAGAGAGAGAGAGAGAUGGCAACUAAGCAAACGAUGAUCAUCGCCUCCCUUCCCUUGGAAGCACCCGGCGACGAUGAGCAGGAACUUCUGGCUAAGCUGCAGCAGCAGCUUGGCAAGAUCCAUGCUGCAAUCUGCAAGCUACGUUCUUCCUCGUAUGCGCACUCGGACUGCUGUUGAGAAGGUCUUUUCUUUUUUUGCUUAUAUGGAUCUUGUUGGACUAUUUAUGCUUGAACUGAUCCCAUUCUCUCUUUUGGAAGGUGACUCUUCCAGAUGUCCUAAGUUUCUCGUCCGACACAUUGUGGAAGCUGACUGAUGGGACGACAAGUCUGCUGCCAAGAGUGGAGGAGUUGCAGAACAAGAUCCUGGCGCAUACUAUCAAAAGGUCCGGCCCUCCCUUGGAAGCUUCCAAGUCUGAACCCCUCCAGAUGGCCGUCUGGUUCAACUGGAAUGCCAAGCUGUACCCGGUCGAUGACCCUAUGGACGCUCAAGAAGUGAUACCCAAGGUUGCCGCAAUCGUAGAUGACAACUUGAAUCAGCUCCAGGCAAAGCUUCGUUCCCUUCGUAUCACGAGGAGCAACAUUCAGGUGCUAGUCGAAAGCA